rnacentral:rRNA from 1 species
CCCUUAGAUGUUCUGGGCCGCACGCGCGUUACACUGACGAAUGCAACGAGCUUAUAACCUUGGCCGAAAGGUCUGGGUAAUCUCCAAAUUUCGUCGUGAUGGGGAUAGAUUAUUGCAAUUAUUAAUCUUCAACGAGGAAUGCCUAGUAAGCGCAAGUCAUCAGCUUGCGUUGAUUGCGUCCCUGCCCUUUGUACACACCGCCCGUCGCUCCUACCGAUUGAAUGGUCCGGUGAAGCGUUCGGACCGUGGCCUUUGGACGGUUCGCCGUCUGUUGGCUGCGGGAAGUUCGUUAAACCUUAUCAUUUAGAGGAAGGAGAAGUCGUAACA